AAGAUUUUAAGUUAAAUAAAACUAUUAGCCUUCAAAGCUAAAAUUGAACAAAUUAAUCAAAUCUUA
rnacentral:tRNA from 1 species